rnacentral:rRNA from 1 species
UAGCAAUAUGUGGCAUACGGCUCAGUAACACGUAGUCAACAUGCCCAGGGGACGUGGAUAACCUCGGGAAACUGAGGAUAAACCGCGAUAGGUCAUUGCUUCUGGAAUGGGCAAUGACUCAAACCUAUAUGGCCCCUGGAUUGGACUGCGGCCGAUCAGGCUGUUGGUGAGGUAAUGGCCCACCAAACCUGUAACCGGUACGGGCUCUGAGAGGAGGAGCCCGGAGAUGGGCACUGAGACAAGGGCCCAGGCCCUAUGGGGCGCAGCAGGCGCGAAACCUCUGCAAUAGGCGAAAGCUUGACAGGGUUACUCUGAGUGAUUUCCGUUAAGGAGAUCUUUUGGCACCUCUAAAAAUGGUGCAGAAUAAGGGGUGGGCAAGUCUGGUGUCAGCCGCCGCGGUAAUACCAGCACCCCGAGUGGUCGGGACGUUUAUUGGGCCUAAAGCAUCCGUAGCCGGUUCUACAAGUCUUCCGUUAAAUCCACCUGCUCAACAGAUGGGCUGCGGAAGAUACUAUGGAGCUAGGAGGCGGGAGAGGCAAGCGGUACUCGAUGGGUAGGGGUAAAAUCCGUUGAUCCAUUGAAGACCACCAGUGGCGAAGGCGGCUUGCCAGAACGCGCUCGACGGUGAGGGAUGAAAGCUGGGGGAGCAAACCGGAUUAGAUACCCGGGUAGUCCCAGCUGUAAACGAUGCAGACUCGGUGAUGAGUUGGCUUUAUGCUAACUCAGUGCCGCAGGGAAGCCGUUAAGUUUGCCGCCUGGGGAGUACGGUCGCAAGACUGAAACUUAAAGGAAUUGGCGGGGGAGCACCACAAGGGGUGAAGCCUGCGGUUCAAUUGGAUUCAACGCCGGG